CAUUAUGUAUACCGUCAAAUUUUACGGGAACAGCAAAACUGCAGUGCUACAAUCCAACAUCUAACAAAAUAAUAUAAAAGUACAUAUCAUGAAACUAUUUUGAAUUUAAUAGAAUUUUUAUCAAAGAAAUCUGAGUAACGAGUGAACAGGAGUACAUCUUAAGAUUUAAUGAUAAUUAGCACAAUAGAAAGAUCAAUCAUCUAGCAACAUCCUACAAGGGGUGAACCAGAGUCUCAUCUGUCCCGGCACAUUGUCUUCUCCAAGAAAAGAGAUUCAGAUUCAGCAUUCUGUAUAUCAAAUCUUAUGAGCACAGCAAAACUGCAGGGCUAUACCACCCAACAACAUCCUACAAGGGCUGAAUCAAGUGCCAUAGUAGUACAUGACAUGAUACGAUAUGCUUCCUGCGAAGCCAAUAGUAGCAGUUAACAUAAACUAACAUUGCAGGUUCAGUUUGCUGAACCGCAGGGGUUCUUCCAUCUACUCGCUUUGAUCGUCCACAGGGCAGGCUCAUCCCAGAAAUGUCAUUCGGAUCAGCGCUUCAUUUCUCCAGGUCUAUGCUCGGCUCCGGGUCGGCUGGAAGGCGCUUCUCCAGGUCCAGGCCCGGUUCCGGGUCCGAGCGAGGCUGCUUCUCCAGGUCCAGGCCCGGUUCCGGGUCCGGACGAGGCUGCUUCUCCAGGUCUAGGCUCAUCAUUUCUGGGUCUGGACGAGGUCGCUCCUCCAGGUCCAGGCUCGGUUCCGGGUCCGGAUGAGGCUGUUUUUCAAGGUCCAGGCUGGAC
rnacentral:lncRNA from 1 species